UACGUAGGGGGCAAGCGUUGUCCGGAAUCAUUGGGCGUAAAGCGCGUGUAGGCGGUUCGAUAAGUCUGCUGUGAAAGUCAAAGGCUUAACCUUUGAAUGCCAGUGGAUACUGUCGGACUAGAGUGCGGAAGAGGCAAGUGGAAUUCCUGGUGUAGCGGUGAAAUGCGCAGAUAUCAGGAGGAACCCCAACCGCGAAGGCAGCUUUGUGGGACGUUACUGACGCUGAGACGCGAAAGCGUGGGGAGCAAACAGG
rnacentral:rRNA from 1 species